rnacentral:misc_RNA from 1 species
CGAAAAUCUGCAAUUGAAAGUUAAAAGAAUUUCUUUGUUAAAUAAAAUUAAAAUUGAGAGAUUUUAUUUUAACAAAUAAAAUUGAGUAUUUAAAAUGAAAUAAUCACCUAAAUUGAGGGACAAAUUGAUGCCUACGAUAAGAAAAUUUUUACAUUUUCGGGGGCUUCAUAGUUUUUUAAUUUUUUUCAAGUUACUGUUAUUGCCCUGAGGGGAAGGGAGGGAAUGGGAAAAUGACAUGUGGGGCCCACUUGGUGAGAAACAAAUUUGUGGGGCUCUUGUGAUCUUAUCCCCAUUUUCCCUUGUCUCGAUUUUCCUCGAGUCUCCCAAACAGAGAGGCUCCAUUAAAUGCCAUGUGAACCUGCACCAUGUCUUGCCUAAGAUUAGGAGCAUGAGCAUGUGCUGCUGACCUAACGACACUGUCUGUUUCUUCCUCACAUGGCUCAGCCUAUCAGAAAACAACCUAUAAAACAAAACUUCAGUCCAGAGAUUAUCAAAGCCACCAUGGAAACCGAGAGUUCAGAGACCAGGAACCAAGCGAGACUAGCCAUUCUCGAGCUAGCCAACAUGAUAAGCGUUCCCAUGUCUCUCCAUGCCGUCGUCCGCCUCAACGUCGCCGACGCUAUCUGGCAAGGCGGAACUAACUUGCCGCUUUCUGCCUCAGAAAUACUCGCAGCAGUCCAUCCCUCUGGCGGCGAUCCCGAGAAUCUUCAACGCAUCUUGCGUAUGCUUACCAGCUAUGGCGUGUUUGCGGAGCAUCUUAGUGCCGAUGCUACUGAGAGGAGGUACUCUCUGACGGAGAUCGGAAAAACGCUUGUCACCGACGGUGAGGGCCUUUCCUACGCUUCCUACGUGCUUCAGCACCACCAGGAUGCAUUGAUGAGGGCAUGGCCAUUAGUGCACGAGGCAGUACUGGACCCCACAACAGAGCCAUUCGUUAAGGCAAAUGACGAGCCCGCCUACAGCUACUACGGGAAACAGCCAGAAAUGAAUGAUUUAAUGCUGAAGGCCAUGUCAGGUGUAGCUGUGCCGUUCAUGAAAGCCGUCUUGAACGGCUAUGAUGGAUUUCAAGGGUUGGAGAGAUUAGUUGAUGUAGGUGGGAGUGCAGGGGAUUGCCUUAAGAUGAUCCUGCACAAAUAUCCUAGCAUUCUUCAAGGGAUAAACUUUGAUUUGCCUGAAGUAGUUGCCAAGGCACCAAAGAUUCCAGGUGUUAUCCAUGUUGGUGGUGACAUGUUCAAAUCGAUUCCUUCAGCUGAUGGUAUCUUUAUGAAGUGGAUAUUGACGACAUGGACAGAUGAUGAAUGCAAGUUGAUAAUGGAAAAUUGUUACAAGGCACUUCCUGUAGGAGGGAAACUAAUAGCUUGUGAGCCAGUGUUGCCAAAGGAUUCCGAUGACAGCCAUAGGACAAGAGCUCUCUUGGAAGGUGACAUAUUUGUCAUGACAAUUUAUAGAGCUAAGGGCAAGCACAGGACAGAAGAAGAAUUCAAGCAAUUGGGUCAGUCGGUUGGUUUCUCUAGUUUCCAAGCAUUUUAUAUUGAUUACUUCUAUACUGUUUUGGAGUUUCAAAAAUAAUUAAUGGCUUGCCUUAAUUAGGACAUAUAAUUAUUAAACUACAAAUCUCUCUAUUCAAUAUCCUAAUUGUUUAAUGCAUGGCACCUUGAACUGCAUAAUUUUCAAUUUUAACUCAAUCUUGGAUUGCCAAAUUAAUAUGGUUUAUUGUUUUAUUUUAAGUAUUUGCAUUUUUUUUACAUACUCACAUGUAUAAAAUAAAUAAAAGAAAAUAUAAAACACAUAAAUCAAUCAAUCAAAUUUAAUUAAAUUACAUAUCUAGUUGUAAGAAUGCUUCGUAAUCUAAUUAGUGACAUACAUAAGAGAAUCUCAAUAACUAAAGAAAUCAAUGUUGACACUGAGAGUUUAUACUCUUCUCUCAUAAAACACAUGAAACUCAACCUUCUAAAUUUAAGGAAGAAACUAUUUUUUUAUUUCUAUAAGGAACAUUAUUUUUAAUAUUCUCGAUAUAUUUUGGAAUUUUUUGAAUAAUUUUAUGCACUAGAAGACUAUAGGCCUUAGAGACACUGCCCAUUUCCCAGUGGCCAAAACAAUAUACAUUUUUUAUUUUAUAUAUAAAUCUCAUUAUAUAUUAUAUAUUUUAAAUUUAUAAUAAAUUAAAUUUAAAUAAA